rnacentral:tRNA from 1 species
ACUUUUUUAGUAUAAAAAAUAUAAUUGACUUCCAAUCAAUGGAUCUUACCUUAAGAAAAAGUA